rnacentral:sRNA from 1 species
GACCUUGCGUCAACAGCCCAAGCAUUGCGCUUAAGGCUGGCGGCUGGUGGCUUUUGCCACCGGCCU